rnacentral:misc_RNA from 1 species
CGUGGAGAUCUCACUUUCGAAAGAGAGUCUCGACGCGGCGGUGUACACAUAGCUGAGAUAGCAUGCAGCCGAUAAUGGAAAAAGAUAUAUAAUUUGUGUGCCGCGCAAGGAUUUCUCUUCAUAAGAGUGAAUCAAACCAGCUAGCCUCCUUUCGGCUUGUGGCGAACUAGACUGACAAUUGUAGUAUAUAAAGAAGAGUUCGUCUUUCUUCAAAGAGAAAAAGUAACGCGGCCCUUAGAGGCUUAAGUAAUCGUUCGCAGGCGAAAUGAAAUUACGUAAAGAAAGAAAGAGACUUUCGGAAAGUGGUUCAGGUAGCUCCAGCGGACUGUAAAUCCGUAAGAGCCGGGCAUCUGGGACUGUAAAUCCUCAUGCGGUUCGACUCCGCACCCACUUAAGACUGUUCCGCCGCGGGUGGCGCCCAGAUAAGAAAGCUUAUGUUCCGGCGGAUCGAAAUUUCCUAUUUUGCUCAGUCAGAAGGAAGGCUAGC